rnacentral:tRNA from 1 species
GCGUAGCUCAGCUGGAUAGAGCGUCUGACUACGGAUCAGAAGGUCGAGGGUUCGAAUCCUUUCGC